AUAAUUUUGCAUUUAAAAAAUGAGGAGCCGGCAGCUUAAUCCAACGUUUCUACCUUUUCACAUUUCAAGCAUAGGAUAUGAUAUGAUAUGAUAUGACCACUAACAAACUAUAGUUUCACAUUAGAUUACAUGUUCUUGGCGCGUUUCAGUUUUCGUUUUUUGUUUCUUCAUUCAACUUAUUACACCUCUGUUUCCAGCUCACUUUUCCUAUCAACUAGACCGGUUAGGUGCCUAUUUCUUGUUUUUAGUAUGUUUGGGAACAUGGUGGAUCACGUUGAAAACUGUGGUGGCCUUAAAGCUACUAUUUGGCUGUGGAAAAUUUGUGAUGGCACCAUGGUUUCUGUGUUUGAUUUUCUUUAAGUUUUAGCCUUUUUGGAUUCAACAGCGUGAUACUAAAAUCAGAGUUGAAUAUAAAGUAAUGGGUAUUAUCCUCUUGGAACAAUAUUUUUUUAAAAAAAAUUGUGUUUUUGUUCCUGAUAGGAUUAGAGAAAGUGACAAACUGAGUUUUUUCCUUCAGUUUUGUGUUUGAUUAUUUGAAUUCAAGACACCAUGCAUGCCGUUUUCCAUCUCAAAAAUCAAAUUGCAUUUUGCUUAUGUUAGAAUAUAUUAUGCAGAUUGCAGAGUAUAGCGGUAAUAUAGCAGGGUCAUUAUGACUUGUGGCUGCUUUGGAGCCAAAUCCACAAAGGAAAGACGCCCUUCUCAUGUUCCUAGUGAAAUUCAUGGCUAUCCGUUAGAUAAUGUUAGGCAAUUUUCUGAUAAAGAACUGAAAUUCGCAACUGAUAAUUAUCAUUCAAACAAUAAGAUAGGACGAGGAGGUUUUGGAACCGUUUACCAGGGAACCUUAAGAGAUGGAAGACGUGUAGCAGUUAAGACUCUCUCAGUUUGGUCAAAGCAAGGAGUUCGUGAGUUUUUGACAGAAAUUGAAACUUUGUCAAAUGUUAAACAUCCAAACCUUGUUGAAUUGAUUGGAUUCUGCAUUCAAGGACCUAGUCGUACAUUAGUCUACGAGUAUGUGGAAAAUGGCAACCUUAAUAGUGCACUACUUGGCACAAGGAAUGCAAACAUUAAACUAGACUGGAGAAAAAGAUCUGCUAUUUGUAUAGGCACCGCAAAGGGUCUUGCAUUUCUUCAUGAAGAACUUGCACCACCUAUUGUGCACAGAGACAUCAAAGCUAGUAAUGUACUACUUGACAGUGAUUUCAAUCCCAAAAUAGGUGAUUUUGGUUUGGCUAAAUUAUUUCCAGAUGACAUAACUCACAUUAGCACCAGAAUUGCUGGAACAACUGGUUACUUAGCACCAGAAUAUGCAUUAGGUGGCCAGUUAACCAAGAAGGCUGAUAUAUACAGCUUUGGGGUUCUUAUUCUUGAAAUAAUUAGUGGCAGAAGCAGCGCCAGAAGGACAAAUGGGGGAGGGUCACACAAACAACUCUUGGAAUAUGCGUGGCAACUUUAUGAAGAGGGGAAGUUGUUGGAGUUUGUUGAUGGAGAAAUGGAAGAAUAUCCUGAGGAAGAGGUAAAGAGGUACAUGAAGGUCGCUCUUUUCUGCACACAAGCAGCAGCAGGUAGAAGGCCAUUGAUGAUACAGGUGGUUGAUAUGCUAUCCAAGGCAAUUCAACUGAAUGAGAAAGAACUUACAGCUCCAGGAUUCUUCACAAAUGAAGGAGAAUCCUCUAGAAAGAACUUCAACCCUGUCUCUUCAAAUGCCUCUACUCAUGUUGCUAUUACUCAGGUCACCCCACGGUGAUGUCAAUUGCAGGGUUGCAAAUGGAGAAAAAACUACUAGUAUUUCAUUGUCUUCUCUUUCUUUUUUUUCGAAGAAUAUAACAUGGAAAUUGGGGAGCAGACAGACACUGCUUGAAUCACUAACCACGAGGUGUCCAACGUUAAUGCUAACUUACGUCCAAUGUGUUAUUCCCUGUACUCCAAUAAAAUAAUGUAAGAUAUUCAGCAAAAAAAGAUUAAAAAAAAUCUGUAUGAUACGGAUAUUAGUCGAGUUGCCAUGCCGCACUCUAUCUCUCACGUGCCUUGGUAAUAAAUGCAAUAACAGGAUUUUGAAUGUUUUGUUAGGUAUGUAAAUGAAAAAGAAAAAUGUAUUUAUUCUUAAUUUAAAAUAAAUUAAACUUAUAAGGUAUUUUAAUUUGAA